rnacentral:RNase_P_RNA from 1 species
UCCGGGUGAAAUGCUCGCUUUAAAGGUUACAAACGUGGAGUUCUAGGACUCCUGCAAUUGCCCUUGGGAAGGUCUGAGACAAAGGUCAACCACGCUCUAGCAGGGCACCCUCCUAAUGUGAGGUGGUGGUUCACAAGAAACAUCCCUGGCAGGUUAUGGCACAUGAUACCCUGUUCACGUAGGGUAGAUGCUAUGUAACCUUGUCAAAGUUGGGAAGUGCCACGACCAGCUUAGUAAGUGCAAUAAGCGAGGUGGUAUGGUUUACAUACCAUAACUCAAUUCAGACUACUCUUCACCCGGA